UAGGGAAUAUUAGUAAUGGGCGAAAGCCUGAACUAGCAACGCCGCGUGUGCGAAGAAGGCCUUCGGGUUGUAAAGCACUUUUUGAGAGGAUGAGGAAGGACGGUACUCUCAGAAUAAGUCUCGGCUAACUACGUGCCAGCAGCCGCGGUAACACGUAGGAGGCAAACGUUAUCCGGAUUUACUGGGCGUAAAGCGCGUGUAGGUGGUUUGGUAAGUAGGGCGUGAAAGCUCCUGGCUCAACUGGGAGAGGACGUUCUAAACUGCCAAGCUUGAGGAUGGUAGAGGGAGGUGGAAUUCCGGGUGUAGCGGUGGAAUGCGCAGAUAUCCGGAGGAACACCAGUGGCGAAGGCGGCCUCCUGGACCACUCCUGACACUCAGACGCGAAAGCUAGGG
rnacentral:rRNA from 1 species